AGAUCAUGACCUGAGUGGAGAUAAGAGACGCUUAACCAACUGAGCCAUCCAGGCACCCUUGUAAUUGCUUUUUAGAUAUAGAAAAAAAGAGAAAGAUUUGUAAAAUUUCAUUCAUAAGAGCUUAAAAUUGAGCAUUAAAAGUACAGGGGGUGUGGGUGUCGUCUCGUGCCAGGCACUCUGGGACAGGAACCUCGUCAACAAGGGAAGGGAUCUAGGUUCCGGAAUCUGAGUGUGGAACCUGGCCUUCCAACACACAGGGACGUUUAUUCUCUUGUAGUAAGAGGAUGGAGAUCAAUCACGGGCAUCUCCGUGGAGAUGCAAAGAUCUCCAAGUGAAAAAAGCAAAUUGCACAACAAAAUAUUGAGUGUCCACGAGAGGGAAAAGUCAACCCUAGUGAAAUCACAUAUGCGUGUUAACUAGUGGGAAGGGAAGGGAUGAUGAGAUUCUCCCUAAGCCCUCCAUGUGAUGCCUGUGGGGGCAGAGGCACUGUCCUUUUCUUCACCUGAUGUCAGUGCUUGAUGUGCAGAUGCCCGUGCAGGGUCCCGGGCAGCACCCGGUGCUCAGGGCCAGUGGCCACAUUCUGCUGCUGGACGCUACCCCGGUGCCACACGCUGCCUCAGCCACCUCUCACAAAAACCUGAUGAAGUCGUUAUUACCCCAUUUUACAGGUGAGGAAGCUGAGUCAUAGGUGGGCUCCUAGUUAGUAGGUCAAGGAAAUGGAGGCCUACAAUCCGACCGCUUGACCUCCCGGAGCCUGUGUGCUCAAUCAGAAAACCGCAGGAGAGCGCCCUGCCUCCCUGAUUCUCUAGCUGGGGAGGACGACCCGUAGGAAACAAUACCAGUCAGCUCAGGUUCCCAGGAAAACAUGCCAUAUUGGUGAAGUGGGGGCUCAGAGGAGGGAGGAAAGACCCCAUGUGGGGAGUGCUUCCCACAGGGCCAUGAGGUCUCGGACGAUACACCGAAGAGCUGGGGUUUUAUGCUGCAGGUGGUGGGGAGCCAUUGAAGGUUUUAAGCAAGGGGAGCUAUUACAUGCUGCUGAGCACAGUGGCUCCCAAGGGUGAUUCUUUCGUGCUUGGUAUGAGGGGUGCAGAGGGAGUGGAGGCAGGGACCCCCUAGGGAGGCUUCCAGGUGACAGAGGCCAGGACCAGUAACCAUGAGCUGGACAAGAAGGUUGUGUAGCCUGUGUGUGUGUGUGUAGAGAGAGAGUGAGCAGGGGAGGGGCAGAGAGAGAAGGAAAGAGAGAGGGAGAGAAUCCAUGCAGGCUCCACACUGCACUCUGUCCGUGCAGAGCCUGAUGUGGGGCUCGAGCUCACCAACCGUGAUAUCAUGACCUGAGCCAAAAUCAAGAAUCGGAUGCUUAACCGACCAGGCCACCCAGAUGCCCCAGGUUAUGUAGCCUUUAAAAGAAAGACCUCACAAUUACAUCUCAGGCUGGGGGUUUUUGUUUUUAUAAAAAGGACAGGCUGUAAGUCCCUGUUCCUAUACAUAGGCGUACAGGAACGGGACGUGUCUGUUCCUCAGGCGGCUUCUCUGACACCAGAGAAGACCAAAGGUUGCAUCAUAGAAAGUGCCAAAGGCCAAAAAUUAUUCUACAAUAUCCAGUUUUGCUCACUCUAGUGAUGUGAACUUCAGAUUAGAGCUCAGAUUGGAAAAAGGAUUCUUUAGGUGAUGUGGUAUGUGGCCAGCAGCGAGGAGCUGGUCCGCAUGUCACACGCCCAUUAUGACCUCUGACCCGCAGUGGCCAGCUGAAGUGCUGAUAGCACGGGACGUGCCCUGGGCGGAGUGGACCCUGUCUGCUCCUCCCACCAGCCCUUGCUUUUCUGGAUCCCGACACCGGCUUUUGCACAGCCCCCGGGCACCCCCUUUCUCUUAGGUCUACACUGGAUCCCCAGAAGGAAUUUGACCAAGGAAAGUCAGGAAAAUAACCCACAGGAAGGAAGCAAUGACGGUCUCAUGUGAAGGGCAUCAGUUCCUGGAAUUUAAAGGGGGCCACUCUUGCCAGAUGGAUAUGGCUACAAUCCUUGCUCCACCUGUCCCUACUGACACUUUGCAGGACACAGGACAAAACUGGACCCUGGCCGUUUGUCUUUGGCGUCUGUCACAUUUGGUCAGCCCUACAGUUCCUACCUCCUAAGUCACGGAUUUGAUCAAAGAUGCCCUUGGCAGUGGUAUUAGAUGGGCUUCGUCCUACCUCCCAGAGACAAAAUCUGGUGGGUGGCACCUCCAGCCUCUCCCUAAUGGCGGGACUCCAUUCUCAGAACCUGAGAAUCUUGGAACAGGGCAGGAUUGUGAGACUGCAUUCUGUCCCCCACGCGGUUCCUCCCGGGCUUCCCUGCCCCACGAUGGCUCCUCCCCCGUGGCCUUCUCCAUGACUGCUUCAUGUCAGCCACUGCUUGUCUUCUGCUGGAGCACAAGGGGGCUGUCUCCGGCCCCGUCCUCAGGCUCCCUCCCCACGCCCAGGGGCAGCUCGCCGAAGCUAGCCAUGACCACGGUGCAAGCGGCAGGAGAAGCAAGCUCUGGGUGUCACUGGCAAAACAGAAUAAGGACAGAGAAGGGAGGCCAGAACCCUCGGAGGCCCUGCAAGGGGCUGUAAAACUCACCGGCUGGGGCAGCUUAAUGGAGGUCCCCCCGACCUAACAAGGUGGCCUGUCAUCUCCACUUGGAAAUGGCCAUUUGCUUCCCCCCGGCCAAAGAAGAUACCCAGUUGUCAUAAAUUCAGUGCUCUGGUAAAUGGUAACAAGCUUACCUUGGUUUCUCUUUACUGUCGCAAAUUAAACAGUGACAGAUGUCAAA